rnacentral:sRNA from 1 species
AGGCGCUGACGUCAGCCACCGUAAAUUCAAAUUUUUUUUACCGUUGACGCAUGAAUUUCACGUGCCAACGGUAAAAAAAUUUGACUUUCGCUCGCUGAUGUCAGCGCUGAUAGAGCCCAACGGAAAAAUGCCACGUGGAGCUCCUUGGGCGCUGCAAUGGUUUUUUUUUUUUUUUUUCU